UACAUGUGGGGCAAGCGUUGUUCGGAAUCACUGGGCUUAAAGGGCGCGUAGGCGGGCUGCCAAGUCUGGGGUGAAAUCCCACGGCUCAACCGUGGAACUGCCUCAGAUACUGGCGGCCUCGAGGGAGGUAGGGGCAUGCGGAACUAUGCGUGGAGCGGUGAAAUGCGUUGAUAUGCAUAGGAACUCCGGUGGCGAAGGCGGCGUGCUGGACCUCUUCUGACGCUGAGGCGCGAAAGCCAGGGGAGCAAACGGG
rnacentral:rRNA from 1 species